rnacentral:rRNA from 1 species
UCAUUAGUUUUUUAAUUGAAAGCUUGUAUGAAUGGUUUGAUGAGAAAAUGACUUUCUAUGUUUAAUUUUAAGAAUUUUAUUUUUAAGUUAAAAAGCUUAAAUUUUUAUAAAAGACGAGAAGACCCUAUAGAGUUUUAUUUUUACAAAAUUUUAAAUUUUUAGAAUUUAAUUAAUUUUAAAUUUUUUAAAAAUUUGAUUGGGGUGAUUAAAAAAUUUAAUAAACUUUUUUUUUAUAAUUACAUUAAUUAAUGAAUAUUUGAUCUAUAUAAAUGAUUAAAAGAAUAAAUUACCUUAGGGAUAACAGCGUUAUUUUUUUUUAGAGUUCAAAUCGAAAAAAAAGAUUGCGACCUCGAUGUUGGAUUAAAAUUAAUUUUAGGUGUAGAAGCUUAAA